GCAAUGGACGGAAGUCUGACCGAGCAACGCCGCGUGAGUGAAGAAGGUUUUCGGAUCGUAAAGCUCUGUUGUAAGAGAAGAACGAGUGUGAGAGUGGAAAGUUCACACUGUGACGGUAUCUUACCAGAAAGGGACGGCUAACUACGUGCCAGCAGCCGCGGUAAUACGUAGGUCCCGAGCGUUGUCCGGAUUUAUUGGGCGUAAAGCGAGCGCAGGCGGUUAGAUAAGUCUGAAGUUAAAGGCUGUGGCUUAACCAUAGUACGCUUUGGAAACUGUUUAACUUGAGUGCAAGAGGGGAGAGUGGAAUUCCAUGUGUAGCGGUGAAAUGCGUAGAUAUAUGGAGGAACACCGGUGGCGAAAGCGGCUCUCUGGCUUGUAACUGACGCUGAGGCUCGAAAGCGUGGGGAGCAAACAGGAUUAGAUACCCUGGUAGUCCACGCCGUAAACGAUGAGUGCUAGGUGUUAGACCCUUUCCGGGGUUUAGUGCCGCAGCUAAGCAUUAGCACUCGCCUGGGAGUACGAC
rnacentral:rRNA from 1 species